rnacentral:lncRNA from 1 species
UUUUCUCAUCUUCUUCAAUUGAUCCACCGACGAACCUCUAUUUCUUUGUUCCCCACCUUCGGGGCCAUUGUAUCACCGAAUUUGAGCUCCGUCACUCCAAGAUCCUCUCCAUUUCUCUCUAGCUCCCUCAUCGACUCUGUUUUUUUUCUCUCUUCCUCUCCCUAUUUCGAGCGUCGCCGCCACUUCACCACCGGAUCGAGUUGCCCUCGGCCGAAAUCCUCCAUCUCCGUUGCACAUCGGUGAGUUUUCCCCUUUCUUAUUUAUACUUUCUUGAGUUAUCUCCUUUGUUUCAGGCAACCGAGAACAUACUCAGCUUCUCCCUUCUCACCGGCCGCUAUAGCUAUCGUCAGCUAGCCGUCGACUCCCUGCCACCAAAGCCUGGUCGCUGCCGGACCUUCUUCCCUCUACCCUUUUCCUUCUCUUUCCUCUCCUCUCUUCUUUUUUCUUUCUUUCCCUCUUUUCCUUCAUCUCUCAUUUUCUUUCCAGUUUAGUUCAUUUAUAUAUAUAUAUAUAUAUAUAUAUAUAUAUAU